CAGCAGCCACGGUAAUACGAAGGGGGCUAGCGUUGCUCGGAAUGACUGGGCGUAAAGGGCGCGUAGGCGGCGAUCAAAGUCAGGCGUGAAAUUCCCGGGCUCAACCUGGGGGCUGCGUUUGAUACUUGGUUGCUUGAGUGGGGAAGAGGGUCGUGGAAUACCCAGUGUAGAGGUGAAAUUCGUAGAUAUUGGGAAGAACACCGGUGGCGAAAGCGGCGACCUGGUCCUUUACUGACGCUGAGGCGCGAAAGCGUGGGGAGCAAACAGGAUUAGAUACCCCGGUAGUCCCUGUCUCUUAUAC
rnacentral:rRNA from 1 species